CUGUGGGGCCCACCGUGGGGAGGCUGCAGACCCAGCACCCCUGUGCCUGGCGGGGUGGGUCCUGAGACACCCGCUUCCUGCAGAUGUCAGCCAGGACCAUAAAGGGUCCCCCCAACUGGUUCAGAACUCAGAUAGGAAAGAAUUACUAUUAAAUAUCAGUAACUGCAAGAGACCAAGCUGACACACAAGAAUUUUUUCCUUUCUUCCACACUCUGCUUGUUGUCCAGCUCUCACCCACUUUGCUGUCGAUCCGACAACAAAGCCCAGAACUCCCCCGUUAGGAGAGUGGGUACCAUGUGCCAGGGGCUGGGUACACGUGAACAAUCGCAGGUAAAAUAUCGUCUCCACAUCACACAGAGGCAGGACCUGCUGACCGGCAGUGGCUAACCCAGAUGUGGACACCCUGACCAUCAAGCCCCCUGGAGUUCAGUACCCCAAACCCUGCUUCUCACACUCAGGUGAGCCCAUUCCAACGCCGCCUCUGCGAGGAAUUGUGUUCACCUCAACGAAAGUACAACUUCACGUCAGAAGGUGCACCCUGCGUGACAGAACCCAGGAGAUAAGGGAUGGCGUCACACGAUACAAAGGUUUCCAAAGGUCUCACCGGAGGACAGCAGCCACCUAAGCUGUGCGCACGCGCACACAUCCACAAGCAAGAUUCUCGAAUGUCACUGUUACUUGUGUGCACAAGCUCAUGACACCUACCCACCUGACAGCUUCUCCUUCGACUCGGAAAGACUGCGGCUGCGUUUUAAACUCGCCCUGCUCUCCGGAGGGUGUCUCUCAACUGUUGCAGGUUUGAACUCGGGAAGAACAAAAGCAGAGGCCCUCAGCCCCCCUAAGAGGGACAGCUUCAGCGCCAGGCUUCCCCGAGCCACCGCACCUGCACAGAUCUCCUCCACAACCAGCCUCCGAGUUUGACUGACUCAGUGUCAGCGCCCAUGAUGAAAACGAUGUCCAAGGAAGAAGGUUGCAACGUAACAUGAGGGCCGAAGAAAAGAAAGGUGAUGGAAUAUUAUAAUGUUAAAUAUCAGGGUCUCAGCUCCGGCAGACUGGAUUUGAAUCAUUCUCUGCCAAUUAUAAACUGCAUGAUUUUGGUCAAGUUAACGUCUAACUCCAGUUUUCAUAUCUGCAAAAAUGGAGCUGAAAUUGUCCUCAGAGCUAUUACAAAAAUGAAAUGAGAUUAAACAUUCUCAUUUUUUAAACUGUUA